UACGUAGGGUCCGAGCGUUGUCCGGAAUUAUUGGGCGUAAAGAGCUCGUAGGCGGGCCGUUAAGUCGGAAGUGAAAUCUCAAGGCUCAACCUUGAAAUCGCUUUCGAUACUGGCGGACUUGAGGCAGGUAGGGGAAGGUGGAAUUCCUGGUGUAGCGGUGAAAUGCGCAGAUAUCAGGAGGAACACCGGUGGCGAAGGCGGCCUUCUGGGCCUGUUCUGACGCUGAGGAGCGAAAGUGUGGGGAGCAAACAGG
rnacentral:rRNA from 1 species